CUACGGGUGGCACCAGUGGGGAAUAUUGCACAAUGGGCGCAAGCCUGAUGCAGCAACGCCGCGUGAGGGACGAAGGCCUUCGGGUUGUAAACCUCUUUUAGCAGGGAAGAAGCGAAAGUGACGGUACCUGCAGAAAAAGCACCGGCUAACCACGUGCCAGCAGCCGCGGUAAUACGUAGGGUGCAAGCGUUGUCCGGAAUUAUUGGGCGUAAAGAGCUCGUAGGCGGUUUGUCACGUCUGCUGUGAAGUUUCGAGGCUCAACCUCGAACUUGCAGUGGGUACGGGCAGGCUAGAGUGCGGUAGGGGAGAUGGGAAUUCCUGGUGUAGCGGUGGUAUGCGCAGAUAUCAGGAGGAACACCAAUGGCGAAGACACAUCUCUGGGCCGUAACUGACGCUGAGGAGCGAAAGCGUGGGGAGCGAACAGGAUUAGAUACCCGAGUAGUC
rnacentral:rRNA from 1 species